GACAGAGGGUGCAAACGUUGUUCGGAAUUACUGGGCGUAAAGCGCGUGUAGGCGGCUAAGUAAGUCGGGCGUGAAAUCCCACGGCUCAACCGUGGAAGUGCACUCGAAACUGCAUAGCUAGAGUCCUGGAGAGGAAGGUGGAAUGCUUGGUGUAGAGGUGAAAUGCGCAGAUAUCUGGAGGAACACCGGUGGCGAAGGCGGCAUCCUGGACCAAUACUGACGCUGAGGAGCGAAAGCCAGGGGAGCAAACGGG
rnacentral:rRNA from 1 species